GUUGCCGACACAGUCAGAUAUUUCACCCAGAAAAUCUGAGGGCCCUACAAAGCUAACCAGGUGAAGAACUCCUGCAGCUAUUUGCAAUGGAAAAGAGCAUGGAACAUGCAUGACAGUAAGUUGCUGCUAAUGCCCAUUUGACAGAAGGAAUUUUUCAGGAAGAAGCAUGAAGUGACAUGGAAGUGGGACAGAUGAAGAGGUCCCAGGAAUGCUCUCUUCCUACUGCACUGGAGAAGCCCAUUGUGCCCAUGGCCAGGCUCUGUAUUAAUAUUUUCCUGAGCAUUAUUAUAGAGCUUGCAUGAUAUUAC